UAAUAAGUUUCUGGACAACUC
rnacentral:piRNA from 1 species